UUGGAGCUCGUUCUGGAGUUUGGUGGAGUAACAGCCAGUAGGGGGUAAAACGAGAAUAUAAGAAAAAGCAACCUUCCAAAUCCAAGUCUUUCUUAUAUAUAUAACAAGAAGCAGCUUCGGGUAAUCCACACUCCAAAUUCCAAAAUAAAGCAAAAUCACCUCUCUCCAACUUCACUCUCUCCCUCUGCAAAUUGAAUUUAAUAUUCCUUACAAAAAUCCAUAAUCUCUGCAACUUUUAAUUCAAAAAGACACACCGAGGCACGCUUACACAUGUUUAUAGCAACAACCAAUCUAUACCCUGCAAGAAAUACUCACUGAACCGACUCCCAGCGCCACCCCUCUCUCUGUAUCCUGACCGUGAUAAACAGAGAGAAACGCAAAACAAACAAACACACGAAGAUACUCGAAAAGAAAUAUUGAAAUCAUUCAGGUUCUUAUCUUUUCUUGUUUUCUAGGGAUUACUAAUCAACUUACACAAUCUUUCUGCAAACAAAAAAGGUUCCAUCUUUUAAGAAAACAAGAGUAAAUAGAGAGAACCCACAAAGCAAAAAUUUGAUCUUGUUGUGAUUAGAGGGUUUUGACUUUUGCGGGCUAUGAGGAUACACGGAGAAAUGCCACCUGAAAAAGAAGAGGAGGAGAAAGUGAAGUCGUUGUCUUUAUCUAUACAACAGCCACAGAAACUGGUGGUGGUUGGGUAUGCUUUAACAUCAAAGAAAAAGAAGAGUUUUUUGCAGCCAAAGCUUGAAGUUUUAGCCAGAAAUAAGGGUAUAUUGUUCGUUGCUAUUGAUCUAAACAGGCCAUUGCUGGAUCAAGGUCCCUUCGAUGUUGUUUUGCACAAGCUGUUGGGAAAGGAUUGGUGCGGAGCUAUUGAGGAUUACAGGAAAAAAAAUCCUGAAGUAGCUGUCCUCGAUCCUCCAGAUGCUAUAGAGCAGCUACUCAAUCGCCAGUCCAUGCUCAAUGAUGUGACUAAUCUCAACUUAUCUGACUGCUACGGCAAGGUCCGUGUUCCAAGGCAGAUGGUAAUUAAUAACGAUCCAUCAUCCAUCCCUCAUGAAGUUACCAGCGCUGGAUUAAAGUUGCCACUAGUCGCAAAACCACUAGUUGUGGAUGGAACUGCCAAGUCACAUCAAAUGUUUCUUGCUUAUGAUCAAUUCUCCCUUUCAGAACUUGAACCUCCCUUAGUGUUGCAAGAGUUUGUUAAUCAUGGUGGUGUUCUCUUCAAGAUUUAUAUUGUUGGUGAAGCCAUAAAGGUUGUACGGCGAUUCUCUCUACCUAACGUUACUAAGCAAGAGCUAUCAAAAGUUGAAGGUGUUUUUCGAUUUCCGAGGGUUUCAUCUGCUGCAGCUUCUGCAGAUGAUGCAGACCUUGACCCUUCUGUUGCUGGCCUUAGCAUCUCCCUUACAAUAACUUUGUGCGGAUCUUGCAGAACUUCCUCCCCUUCCUUUACUGGAGAAGCUUGCAAGGGAGCUUCGUCACCGACUGGGACUCCGAUUGUUUAAUGUAGAUAUGAUCCGAGAGCAUGGAACAAAAGAUGUAUUUUACGUGAUAGACAUCAAUUACUUUCCUGGGUAUGGGAAAAUGCCAGAUUAUGAGCACAUUUUUACAGAUUUCCUACUGAGCCUGAUGCAGAGCAAGUAUAAGAACAGACCUGCACAAUAACCGCUGAGAAACAUGUAUCCAACUGUAAAUGAUGUUUCUUGCAGGUCUAGAUCUCCCUUGGGAAACUGAAGAACAGUCAAUUUAGUUUUUCUGUAAUACUGAAUGGUAUGAAAUGUCCCUUGCUCAAGCCACAUCCCUGUCAACGAGGUUCUUAAUGCAGUUUCAGCUUGUUUAUUAUCUGAUACUUUGUAAUGUUUCUAGGCAAAAUAAGCACAAUACCAGAUGCCCAUUUGUGCGCAAGAACUUCAAUUUGAGACAAAUAAUCACUUCUCAACUUGUAUGAGCCAUUGUCUCUCUAGUCUUGUGAGCACUCAACCUGCUCAUUACCUCUGCUGAAACUCGCAAGGAAGCAAAUUCUAAUAGCCCAUGAACAAGUAGCCCCAAUCUCAUUUCCCUCCCCUUGUAUUCGCAUGAUAUAAUUGGAGAUGAAUGUCUUUGGUUAUAAAAUUUUCUUAUAGAC